CUGAGGGAAGAACCAUCAUGACGAAGUCAUGAUCUUAUAAUGUUCCGACCGAUAGGCCACCGAACGAAUGUGAGGGGGCAAUACCUAUU
rnacentral:sRNA from 1 species